UACGUAGGGUGCAAGCGUUGUCCGGAAUUAUUGGGCGUAAAGAGCUCGUAGGCGGUCUGUCGCGUCUGCUGUGAAAACUCAGGGCUUAACCCUGAGCUUGCAGUGGGUACGGGCAGACUAGAGUGCGGUAGGGGAGACUGGAAUUCCUGGUGUAGCGGUGAAAUGCGCAGAUAUCAGGAGGAACACCGGUGGCGAAGGCGGGUCUCUGGGCCGUAACUGACGCUGAUGCGCGAAAGCCAGGGGAGCGAACGGG
rnacentral:rRNA from 1 species